CCAUUUGGGCAAUGCUCAGUCUAAAACUGGAAAGAUAUGGAAAAGAUUAGCAUGGCCCCCAUGCAAGCACAACAUGUAAAUUCAUGAAGCAUUCCAUAUAUUU